rnacentral:lncRNA from 1 species
AAACAUUUUAUAUUUCUUUCACCAAGUGAUUCAGUAUAUGUAUACAAUUCUAGUAUUUUAACUUCUAUUUAACGAGCACUUAGGGAAUGUGAAUUUCCGUCAUUCGACUGCGCCAAUUGCAUGCUAAGUAUUUGGUUGCGGUUAACAACCAAGGCCGGAGUACCCCCAACGUUGAAAACUAUCUACGUCUCACAAGACAAGCAAUUACGAUCUCGAACUUCAAAAAGAUUCCGUCUAUGCGGAUUGUGUUGUUAUCCUGGGAAAGCUACAAAUACCGCGUAUAAAUUUGCUAUAUUCGUAAUUGGGUUCGAAGCUAAGCGAUGCCCAGCCUACCAGUUCGGCGUACACGGAAGGAUUCCCAAUUGGAGAACGAUGACGAUCUUGGUCGUAUUGCCCAAAUUUAUCCCACCUAUGCUACACUCAGCUUUUGAUUAAAAUUUUGAAAUCGGUACCCAGGGUACCACUUGGAGGAUCAUGAGUUGCAACGGGGUCGUUUAAAACAAAAUCAAUGUUUGGGACCUACUUGAGUUUUCAAACUCCAAACCAAAAAUUUGGUUUUCGUAGCAUACGGAGGCAUACAUAAUGUUAAUAUUAAAAAUUAAAUAUUUGUAAAAUAAAAAAAAAAUU